UACGAAGGGGGCUAGCGUUGUUCGGAUUUACUGGGCGUAAAGCGCACGUAGGCGGAUCGUUAAGUCGAGGGUGAAAUCCUGGAGCUCAACUCCAGAACUGCCUUCGAUACUGGCGAUCUCGAGUCCGGAAGAGGUGAGUGGAACUCCUAGUGUAGAGGUGGAAUUCGUAGAUAUUAGGAAGAACACCAGUGGCGAAGGCGGCUCUCUGGACCGAUACUGACGCUGAGGCGCGAAAGCGUGGGGAGCAAACAGG
rnacentral:rRNA from 1 species